rnacentral:rRNA from 1 species
GAGUUUGAUUCUGGCUCAGAACGAACGCUGGCGGCGCGUCUUAAGCAUGCAAGUCGAACGGUAAGGGAGAGCUUGCUCUCCCCUAGAGUGGCGGACUGGUGAGUAACGCGUGGGUGACCUGCCUUUGAGAUGGGGAUAGCUAUUAGAAAUAGUAGGUAAUACCGAAUAAUCUCAUCGACAUAAAGGGAGAUGAGGAAAGGAGCUUCGGCUCCGCUCGAAGAUGGGCCCGCGUCCCAUUAGCUAGUUGGUGAGGUAACGGCUCACCAAGGCGACGAUGGGUAUCCGGCCUGAGAGGGUGAACGGACACAUUGGGACUGAGAUACGGCCCAAACUCCUACGGGAGGCAGCAGCUAAGAAUCUUCCGCAAUGGACGAAAGUCUGACGGAGCGACGCCGCGUGAACGAUGAAGGCCGAAAGGUUGUAAAGUUCUUUUGCAGAUGAAGAAUAAGGAUAGGAGGGAAUGCCUAUCUGAUGACGGU